rfam:Oryza sativa Japonica Group DNA, chromosome 3, cultivar: Nipponbare, complete sequence.
AAAAAGUCAAACCCUAGGUUCCUAUGUCUAACUUUGACUGUCUUAUAUAAAUAUUUUUUAUAGUUCGUAUUUUCGUUAUUGUUAGAUAAGAAAAUAUGAUUAAUAUUUUAUGCGUGACUUAUCUUUUUAAUUUUUUAUAAUUUUUUUAAUUAAGACGGACAGUCCAACGUUAAACACGCAAAC